rnacentral:rRNA from 1 species
UACGUAGGGGGCAAGCGUUAUCCGGAUUUACUGGGUGUAAAGGGGGCGCAGACGGCGAUGCAAGCCAGGAGUGAAAGCCCGGGGCCCAACCUCGGGACUGCUCUUGGAACUGCGUGGCUGGAGUGCAGGAGGGGCAGGCGGAAUUCCUGGUGUAGCGGUGAAAUGCGUAGAUAUCAGGAGGAACACCGGUGGCGAAGGCGGCCUGCUGGACUGCAACUGACGUUGAGGCCCGAAAGCGUGGGGAGCAAACAGG